rnacentral:lncRNA from 1 species
AAAAAAUACAGAAACCCUAACCCUAAAAAAAAAAAAACUUUUUCUUUCACACCAGCCGCCCCCCUGGUUUUCAUUUUUGAUCCCCCGGAGUUGCUCCUCGGUUUGAUUUUUCUGACCCAAAAAAAACCGGCCACCCGAACCAGCCUCCCCCUGUUUUCAUCUUCUUCUCCGCCGUUCCCUUUCUCUCGGCCACAAACAAAUCCAAAACGCAGCCCCUUUUCUUUCCAUUUCUUCUCCCUCACCGGACCCAAACCAGCCUGCCAAGACAGCUCCCUCUCAGUCGUUCCUCCUUCUUCAUCGUCAGCGACCCGCAACCAUCAAGGACUCAGCUCGGACUGACCUCCUUCUCAGCCACCAUGAGCUGACCACCAUCUCUUCUCCGUUCAGCCUCCAACAGCAGCAGCGCCGUCCUCGGCAGCGGCCACAGACCCAGCUCACCGCCUCCAGCAGCGGCACGCCCACAGAUCGCGAUCUGUUCGCUCCUCCGCCUCAUCAUCAACAGCGCCUUCUUCCUCUCCGCAGUGGCCACCGCAGCCGACCAUCACCGGAUCUGCAACCGGCGAAGGAAGAGAGCAGACCUGCAAAAAAAAAAAAACAGAUCUAAAAAACGAAACAAACAAACAAAAAGUUAAAAUCGACUGCCGUGUGUGUUUCUUCUCUUGUUCUGCAGGUCGCCGGUGGUUUAGGAAGACAAGGGAGAAGAAGCCGGUCCGAAGCCUCCAUGUUUCUGGUUUUUUUCCGUGGUGGCGCGUGAACCCACGCGCCGCCAGUGGCGGGGGUGCGUGAGGUCCACGCGCCGGAACUAUUCAUUCAUCCCCAGAAGUCUUUCCGUACAAAUUCGGGAGUUUUGAG